rnacentral:rRNA from 1 species
CCUACGGGGGGCAGCAGUGGGGGAUAUUGCACAAUGGGGGGAACCCUGAUGCAGCGACGCCGCGUGUGGGAAGACGGUCCUCUGGAUUGUAAACCACUGUCCCCAGGGACGAAAAUGACGGUACCUGGGGAGGAAGCUCCGGCUAACGACGUGCCAGCAGCCGCGGUAAUACGUAGGGAGCGAGCGUUGUCCGGAAUUACGGGGUGUAAAGGGAGCGUAGGCGGGGAUGCAAGUUGGGUGUCAAAACUACCGGCUCAACUGGUAGUCGCACUCAAAACUGCAGCGCUUGAGUGAAGUAGAGGUAGGCGGAAUUCCUGGUGUAGCGGUGAAAUGCGUAGAUAUUAGGAGGAACACCAGUGGCGAAGGCGGCCUGCUGGGCUUUUACUGACGCUGAGGCUCGAAAGUGUGGGGAGCAAACAGGAUUAGAUACCCUAGUAAUC